rnacentral:rRNA from 1 species
CACGUAGGGCGCAAGCGUUGUCCGGAAUUAUUGGGCGUAAAGAGCGUGUAGGCGGCCAUGCAGGUCCGUUGUGAAAACUCGAGGCUCAACCUCGAGACGUCGGCGGAAACCAUCUGGCUAGAGUCCGGAAGAGGAGAGUGGAAUUCCUGGUGUAGCGGUGAAAUGCGCAGAUAUCAGGAAGAACACCCGUGGCGAAGGCGGCUCUCUGGGACGGUACUGACGCUGAGACGCGAAAGCGUGGGGAGCGAACAGG